rnacentral:lncRNA from 1 species
AUGAAUCUCAGAACUACGAGAAACGAGCACACAGAAAAAUACUCCAUUCGUGCAAGCCCAGGCCCUUCCUCCUCUGAGAGCAUUGUUUCCUGGUCUUGCCAUCUUCAGAUCUUGAGCCAAGAGUCAAGCAGUACUGAUUUGGGGCAAGCUAAAAGUUUCCAGGCAGAGUUGGGUAGAAGAGAGGAAAGACUGAAAAGCCUUGUCUCUCUUCCAAACUGUCUUAUUAAAAAGGCUAGAGUUGACUCCAAGAGCUGCAGGCAGAAUGGUGACAAGUGA